AAGGAUUUAGUUUAAUGUGUUAAAACAGAUAUAGAUAUACAUAUAACGAUAUAUUUAUAUUUAUAUAUAGGUUAGAAUCCUGUAAUCCUCG
rfam:Talaromyces stipitatus ATCC 10500 scf_1107713414939 genomic scaffold, whole genome shotgun sequence.